UACGUAGGGGGCGAGCGUUGUCCGGAUUUAUUGGGCGUAAAGAGCGUGUAGGCGGCCAGGUAGGUCUGCUGUGAAAACUCGAGGCUCAACCUCGAGACGCCGGUGGAAACCGUAAAGCUAGAGUCCGGAAGAGGAGAGUGGAAUUCCUGGUGUAGCGGUGAAAUGCGCAGAUAUCAGGAAGAACACCCGUGGCUAAGGCGGCUCUCUAGUACGGUACUGACGCUGAGACGCGAAAGCGUGGGGAGCGAACAGG
rnacentral:rRNA from 1 species